rnacentral:rRNA from 1 species
GUGCCAGCAGCCGCGGUAAUACGGAGGAUCCAAGCGUUAUCCGGAAUCAUUGGGUUUAAAGGGUCCGUAGGUGGAAGGUUAAGUCAGAGGUGAAAUCCUGCAGCUCAACUGUAGAAUUGCCUUUGAUACUGGCUUUCUUGAAUUACUGUGAAGUAGCUAGAAUAUGUAGUGUAGCGGUGAAAUGCAUAGAUAUUACAUAGAAUACCGAUUGCGAAGGCAGGUUACUAACAGUACAUUGACACUGAUGGACGAAAGCGUGGGUAGCGAACGGGAUUAGAUACCCCGGUAGUCCACGCCGUAAACGAUGGAUACUAGCUGUCCGGAUUUAUCUGGGUGGCUAAGCGAAAGUGAUAAGUAUCCCACCUGGGGAGUACGUUCGCAAGAAUGAAACUCAAAGGAAUUGACGGGGGCCCGCACAAGCGGU